CAGAGGUAUUAGAAUAAAACCUGAGCGAAGUAUUUAAAGUGGUGUUUCAGAUAGCCAGGUGUGGUGAGGAAGAAAUCAGACAGUCUCAUCUGUGGUGCUACAGUGGUUUAGAGAACAGCAAGGUACAUGUAUUUAAUUGGAAAAGGGUCAUAUUUGCAUAGCAACUUAAAUGACCGCAUUUGAGUCCUGGGAUGCAGAGGAUAUGAGCAAAUUAAGCAGGUUUUGAAGUUUGGAACAACAUCAAAAGAUAUGCAGGACACAGCUCAGAAUACAUUAUCACAUCCUGUCAGGCAGCAGGAACUCCAGAUUUUGAUGACAUGACUAGCUGGAUCAUUCUGCAUUUGUCCAGGAACAUGUAUUUAGAAUCCUUCCAGGAUUGCAGGUAA
rnacentral:lncRNA from 1 species